UGCUGGGAGAAAACAAGUGUGAGGGGAGGACAGAGAGACGCGCGCGCAGGAGGCGCCCGCUCCGCCCUCAGCCACGCUCUACACGGCCCGCGGCCACCCCUCUUAUAGCUUCUCAAUAUGGCCUGGUCGGGGGGGGGGGCGGGGGGAUUCGACUUGAAGAGCCGGCCUUUGAGUUGAAGGCGGGAAAAUGGCGGAUACCUCGGGGCGUGGUGCUGGGAAGCCUUCUGCAGGGGGUCCCAGUACUCCUAGCGGCGCUAAGACGAGAGGAAGAAGAAUACAAGGUGGAAGAGUGGUUGAGUCUCGGUACUUGCAGUAUGAGAAGAAAACCACCAGAAAGG